rnacentral:rRNA from 1 species
CGAAACCAGGUGAUCUACCCUUGGUCAGGUUGAAGUUCAGGUAACACUGAAUGGAGGACCGAACCGACUUACGUUGAAAAGUGAGCGGAUGAACUGAGGGUAGCGGAGAAAUUCCAAUCGAACCUGGAGAUAGCUGGUUCUCUCCGAAAUAGCUUUAGGGCUAGCCUCAAGUGAUGAUUAUUGGAGGUAGAGCACUGUUUGGACGAGGGGCCCCUCUCGGGUUACCGAAUUCAGACAA